AGAGUUUGAUCAUGGCUCAGGAUGAACGCUGGCGGCAUGCCUAAUACAUGCAAGUCGAACGGAAUCUUAUAUGUUCCUCGUUUCGGAUUUAGUUCCGAGUUGGGGAACAAUAAGAUUUAGUGGCGGACGGGUGAGUAACACGUUGGUACCUACCCUCUAGUGGGGAAUAACUUCGAGAAAUCGAGGCUAAUACCGCAUAAUAUCUACGGAUUAAAGCAUUUAUGCGCUAGAGGAGGGGCCUGCGUCUGAUUAGCUUGUUGGUGAGGUAAAAGCUCACCAAGGCGACGAUCAGUAGCUGGAUCGAGAGGUUGACCAGCCACACUGGGACUGAGAUACGGCCCAGACUCCUACGGGAGGCAGCAGUAAGGAAUCUUCCACAAUGGGCGAAAGCCUGAUGGAGCAAUGCCGCGUGCAGGAUGACGGCCUUCGGGUUGUAAACUGCUUUUAUAUGGGAAGAUUAUGACGGUACCAUAUGAAUAAGGACCGGCUAACUACGUG
rnacentral:rRNA from 1 species